UGAGACACGGACCAGACUCCUACGGGAGGCAGCAGUGAGGAAUAUUGGACAAUGGGCGCAAGCCUGAUCCAGCCAUGCCGCGUGCAGGAUGACGGUCCUAUGGAUUGUAAACUGCUUUUAUACGAGAAGAAACACUACUUCGUGAAGUAGCUUGACGGUAUCGUAAGAAUAAGGAUCGGCUAACUCCGUGCCAGCAGCCGCGGUAAUACGGAGGAUCCAAGCGUUAUCCGGAAUCAUUGGGUUUAAAGGGUCCGUAGGCGGUUUAAUAAGUCAGUGGUGAAAGCCCAUCGCUCAACGGUGGAACGGCCAUUGAUACUGUUAGACUUGAAUUAUUAGGAAGUAACUAGAAUAUGUAGUGUAGCGGUGAAAUGCUUAGAGAUUACA
rnacentral:rRNA from 1 species